GUCGCAGCCAAUGCAACACUGACCAACACACACACUCACUGACAGACACACACACACAGACACUGACAGACACACUCACAGACAGACACUCACAAACAGACCGACAGAAACACAGACACACAGAUACACAGACACACACACUCACUGACAGACACACACACCAUUUUCUUUAUUGCUCCCUACCUUUGGGAGCCGAUGUGGGGCCUCUCCCUAGGGUCACAUGAGG